GCUCAGGUGGUGGAAUUGGUAGACACGCAGCCUUGAGGGGGCUGUGGGCUCACGCCCGUGCGAGUUCAACUCUCGCUCUGAGCACCA
rnacentral:tRNA from 1 species